AUUUUAUUAUAAAGUAUUUUCGUUUUUCUACUGCUCCGUACUUCGUGUGCUCCGUGCUCCGUGCUCCGUGUGCUCCGUGCUCCGUGUGCUCCGUGUGCUCCGUGCUCCGUGUUUUACUAAUAGCCGCAUGUUUCAAGCAAUAGAUAUUUCCCAAGAUAGCUUCACAACCUUGUUUCAGCCCACUUUUCGAGCGGUUUUGGUAUAUUUGGGUUUUUUGCUUGCACCAUUAAGUGAUGCUAUAAUGCUAUCAGCCCUUACUGUAUUUCAGAAGUCAUUGGUUGAUUGCGGCUGUAGUGAGAUAUUAUAGAACUACAACUGUACAACAUAACCUACUCAUUCUAUUUGAUCAGGUAAAAAUUUUAACUUGUAAGUAACACCAUACGAACACAUGGCGAAAUUGAUACAUUCACUACAAGCGAUAUUACUAAAUAAAUUUUAGUAUCGAGUAUUUAUUUUUUGCUACAAAAAUAUUCAAAUAUUACCUACUGCAUAGCUUGACAAUAUCUUGGACCCUUUUCCGGCGACAUUCCAUGGCGACAUAUAUACAAACUGUUCUCAGCUAUUUCCUUUCCUUCAAGCAUGUACGCAUUGCCUGCUUAUUUUUGUCAAUGUCUACGAUAUAUUGUGCAAUCUACGAAAUAUAUAGCACAAUAAUAUACAACAUGCCGACGUCUAUAAUAAGGUUAACAGCUUAUUAUGUAUAUAUAAAAUUAUAAAAACUUUCAGGAAUAUUUUGACGUCUCAGUUUCAGCAAUAUUUCAAAACCGCGCGAAAAAAUACCUGGAACGAGAAGCAACCUUGGAAAAUGUUUUCUAAUUUCAGCAUAAUUUACACCCUUACUACAUAACAGUCGUUGGCUUUUCUAAGUUUAGGUUUUUCCGGCAAGCUAAUCAGUGAAUUAAACACAGCAUGUGUUUCUACAUACUACCAUACAAUGUGUUUCUACAUUUGAACUAUUGUAUUUGUAUAUUACCAUAGUCUAUCAUCAAGAUAUGUUGGUCUGAAAACUGAACAGAAGUCAUUGUAUUAUGUUUUGUCUGAGUUUGUGUUAAUUUGUGCACGGUCACAGUGAUUGAGCUCAUUGUGUUUUCGUAUAAUAAAGUAACCGUCCAAUAGGGAUAGCUGAGAUUAUUUUAGCUGGCAGGGCGAGACUCUGUGAAACAGGUUGGGUGAGGGACAGGUCAACAUCAUACAAAGGUCUUCUACCUUAGCUUUCAAGUUUGCCAGCCGUUCUGACCAUCAUAUUGAUAUUACAUAAAUUAUUGUCUAAGAAAUAGGCACACAUAACAAAAGUGCAGGAAUCUAAAAAUUAUACACGAAUUUUACACCGCAAAGAUCACUCUUACAACCAUGGCUUCAAUUAUGUGGACGGUUAGAUAAAAACUAAAAUAUGAUUGUUCACAUAUAUGCACAUGUUGGCAUGGGGGUGGGGAGGGGGGCUACAAAAUGCUGGUGACGUUGCAACCUCGCAAGCCAGGUUCUCUACUUUUGCUUCCCUCCCAAUUUGCUGGAGCGUGUUUGGGAAGGAAACGGAAGUAGAGGGCUGGUUUGUUUCUGGCUUUGAAUGUGAUAGAGCAAAGCAUCUGAUUUCAUUUGCGCAUGCGCUGUCCACAAUAAUAUUUACGACGAUUGUACUGUAGGUACACGUUCAGUGCAUUUUGCAUGCAACUUGUUCUUUUUUGCUUUGUUGCAAAGAAUCAUUGAUUCGUUCUGUUCUUGACAUGAACGACGAUUUCCAAACUAUUCAAACUAAAGAUUGAGUUUAAAGACAAAUAUACAUGUAUCUCAAUAUUAUAAAUGCAUUUCAACAAUAGAAACCUUGCCACUAGUUUCAGUGUCAUUUGCAGUGCCGCUAUUUGCCGUGCCAUUAGCGGAGACAUUAGCGGGUUGUACGUCUUUACUUUGCUGGAUAUUAUUAAGGAUAAAUGGACCAUUCGUUCUUGCAUGACCUGUGUUACCACUUUCCAUAAUUGCUUCGUUCGUAUGAGAGGCAACAGUUGAAACAUCUUUGUUUUCUUCUCGUCCAAAAUCAGCUUCUUUAGACGUACUUUCCAUUUUCUUGGCCGAAUCGUACGGAGCUGGGCCAAUAAUUGAUAACACCGCUGGGAGGAAAAAUAGACCAUGGAAUACACCAAAUACGACGACGCCAAACAGAACCUUAAUUUAAAAGAAUACUACAAAAUCAUCAACUAACUGUAGCUUGAUUUACAGUAAUAUGGCCAAUAUGUAGUUCGUACGUUUUACUCAGGACUGAUACUCUUUUAAAUUGACUUGUCAGGCCUAAAUGUUUUUAACCACUACCUGUACAAAUGCCACAGCUUUUGAAUUUUAACUUACUUGUUACUUUCAACAAUAAUUAAAUUCACGAUCUGAUAAGAAAUUCAAACAAACAAAACCAGCUUAAUGCCUUAUGCAAGUAUACACUACUAACAACGCUGUUGGUGUCGGAGUAAGGGCCUGAAUCACGGAUAGUUGGGUGACGCAUUCUUCUCCGUUUGGAUAAUCGUACUAUUAAACUAUAAUGAAUUGCAUGCGUUGGGCCGCUCCGCCCCUCCCUCGCGGCACUUCACAUUUUUAGUUGGAUUCUGGCUCUUGGUCAGUGUUAGACAUUUUAUACUUGUUGUUGGCUUUGAAAAAUAC